rnacentral:rRNA from 1 species
GAGGUGCUUGCACCUUAUCUUAGCGGCGGACGGGUGAGUAAUGCUUAGGAAUCUGCCUAUUAGUGGGGGACAACAUUCCGAAAGGAGCUAAUACCGCAUACGUCCUACGGGAGAAAGCAGGGGAUCUUCGGACCUUGCGCUAAUAGAUGAGCCUAAGUCGGAUUAGCUAGUUGGUGGGGUAAAGGCCUACCAAGGCGACGAUCUGUAGCGGGUCUGAGAGGAUGAUCCGCCACACUGGGACUGAGACACGGCCCAGACUCCUACGGGAGGCAGCAGUGGGGAAUAUUGGACAAUGGGGGGAACCCUGAUCCAGCCAUGCCGCGUGUGUGAAGAA